rnacentral:rRNA from 1 species
AAUGAACGCUGGCGGCAGGCCUAACACAUGCAAGUCGAACGGAUCCUUCGGGAUUAGUGGCGGACGGGUGAGUAACGCGUGGGAACAUACCCUUUGGUACGGAAUAGCCUCGGGAAACUGGGAGUAAUACCGUAUGUGCUCUUCGGAGGAAAGAUUUAUCGCCAAAGGAUUGGCCCGCGUUGGAUUAGGUAGUUGGUGGGGUAAUGGCCUACCAAGCCGACGAUCCAUAGCUGGUUUGAGAGGGUGAUCAGCCACACUGGGACUGAGACACGGCCCAGACUCCUACGGGAGGCAGCAGUGGGGAAUCUUAGACAAUGGGGGAAACCCUGAUCUAGCCAUGCCGCGUGAUCGAUGAAGGCCUUAGGGUUGUAAAGAUCUUUCAGUGGGAAGAUAAUGACGGUACCCACAGAAGAAGCCCCGGCUAACUCCGUGCCAGCAGCCGCGGUAAU